rnacentral:rRNA from 1 species
UCCGUAGGUGAACCUGCGGAGGGAUCAUUACAGAGUUGCAAAACUCCCUAAACCAUCGCGAACCUACCCCUAAAACAGUUGCUUCGGCGGCGCCCUAACCGGCCCGCCGGGGACCACCAAACUCUCUGUUCUUACACUGGCCUCUCUGAGUUAUUGUACUGUAAUAAGUCAAAACUUUCAACAACGGAUCUCUUGGUUCUGGCAUCGAUGAAGAACGCAGCGAAAUGCGAUAAGUAAUGUGAAUUGCAGAAUUCAGUGAAUCAUCGAAUCUUUGAACGCACAUUGCGCCCUUUGGUAUUCCUUAGGGCAUGCCUGUUCGAGCGUCAUUUAAACCCUCAAGCUCUGCUUGGUGAUGGGCGUCUUGUCGAUCUAGCGGACUCCGCAGGUGACUCGCCUCAAAUCUAUUGGCGGCUAGCAUUGUAGUUUCGAGCGCAGCAGAAACGCGAACUCGGGUCUACGUGUGAGCUCCCAGCAAGCCACCCCCUAAUUUUGACCUCGGAUCAGGUAGGGAUACCCGCUGAACUUAA